GGAUUCAACUCAGAAACCCGCCAUUUUGAACCAAACCGGGAGGAAAAUAUUUGGGCAGAAGUUUGACUUUCUUUUAUUUUUCUUCAAUUUGAAUGUGUGAGCAGUUACGCUUAAUGCCGAAGUGUUUGGUAGUUAUUCUCAAACAGAACCCGGCUUCCAAUGGCGUUUUGGAGAAUCCAGAUUUCAGUUGAAACGGAAACGAAUUAAAAACGGUUGGGGUUUAAACGGAGUUUGGUGGGGUUUUUUCUUUUUUUUUUUCCUGGGAUGGAGGUGGAUAUCCUGGAGUUUAAGGUUCCCAUGGACAAUAACAAAACCGUGUUCGUUUGGGACAUCCCUCCGGUUCUGACCCAGGAUCAGAUUUAUGAGCAGCUCUAUCACGUCUUCUCCUCAUUUGGACCGCUCUACCUGCUGAAGGUGUGUCCCAACGCUCCGCUCCACCCACCUGGUUUCUACGCCAUCAUCAAGUUCUACUCUGCUGCUCACGCCGCCAACGCCCAGAGACUUGCACAUGGACACCCUCUGCUACAGAACUCCGCCCUCAAGGUGAAGCUGAGUUCCAAGCAGACUCCCCACUUCCUGUCUGGCAAGAACGCUCCUCUGAGCCACGCCCGCUGCCUGGAACUGGCCAAUCACUACCUGGGCUUCAAUGGCUGGACCUCUGACAUCAUCACACUGAAGGAGCUCACCAGUGACGAAGAAGGUGAGGAUGAAGAAGAGGAUGUGGGUGGAGCCAGACAGAAGUUAAGGUUUGGCUGUAUAAUGAAGCUUAGCUUCCCGCGUUACGGCGUGACGACAAGAGGAGCCGCAGUGGUGGAGGAGACCUUCACCAGUACAGGUCCAGACGUCCUCCUGCAGAGGCGCUGCAAGCUGCAGCGGUCGGUCAGAGAGAAGGCCCUGGUCCAGGCCUUCUCCUCCGUGCUGCUCAUACUUCUAGGGAAUGGUAAAGUGAUGGUGGAGCUGAAACAGACCUCAGAUCAGUUUGAAGCUGAUGAAACUGAAGAUGUCCUGGAGGUGAAUGAGUUUUCUCUGUCUGAUGAAGAGGAGGCUGAUGAUGAAGACUGGGAUCUGACCGUGUCUUAGACUCUCUCAGGAUUACAGUUUGGACUGAUCUGAGGUCAGCACCAGGCUAACAGGCCUCCUGCCUUCCUGAUUGGCUGAUUCUGCUGAGGAAGGUUCUGGUGUGAGCCGUUUAUCUCCCAGGACCUCUCACCAUGUCUGCCACUCUCUGCCUCCCAGCUGGAGUGGAGCGCAGGUCUCCUCCCACCACUACGUAGCCCUGCAGGCAGGAAGCAACAGGCAGGAAGUGGUUAGAACGGUGACAGAUGGAUGGAAUCUGCUUAACCAUUAAUAACGGGCAGGAACUCGUGAAAAGCUGAGUAAAGUUGGACAUUUACAGAAACAUUUAUAGUUUCAGAUCAGUGUGAAACAUGUGGUCAGUUUUGGUGUUUCAAUCAUUAACUGGUGUUACAAUAAAUCCAGAUCAGAAGACCAGAUGUUGGUCAUUUUAGGGAAGCUGAAAAUAAUUUUUGUUUUGAUUUUAAAAUAAAGGUUUCAGAAAUGACAAA